rnacentral:rRNA from 1 species
CAUGCAAGUCGAGCGGCCGUAGCAAUACGGCAGCGGCAGACGGGAGAGUAACACGUGGGAACGUGCCUAUCAGUUCGGAACAACCCAGGGAAACUUGGGCUAAUACCGGAUACGCCCUUACGGGGAAAGAUUUAUCGCUGAUAGAGCGGCCCGCGUCUGAUUAGCUAGUUGGUGAGGUAAUGGCUCACCAAGGCGACGAUCAGUAGCUGGUCUGAGAGGAUGAUCAGCCACACUGGGACUGAGACACGGCCCAGACUCCUACGGGAGGCAGCAGUGGGGAAUAUUGCGCAAUGGGCGAAAGCCUGACGCAGCAACGCCGCGUGGGGGAUGAAGGCUCUCGGGUUGUAAACCCCUUUCAGCAGGGACGAAAACAGACGGUACCUGCAGAAGAAGCCCCGGCCAACUACGUGCCAGCAGCCGCGGUAACACGUAGGGGGCAAGCGUUGUCCGGAAUUAUUGGGCGUAAAGAGCUCGUAGGCGGUUUGUCGCGUCGGCCGUGAAAACUUGGGGCUUAACCACAAGCUUGCGGUCGAUACGGGCAGACUUGAGUUCGGCAGGGGAGACUGGAAUUCCUGGUGUAGCGGUGAAAUGCGCAGAUAUCAGGAGGAACACCGGUGGCGAANGCGGGUCUCUGGGCCGACACUGACGCUGA